ACUAACAAAUUCCUAAUACGAGAAAUUGUAUAAGGCGAAAUAAAGAACAAAAAAAAAGAAAAACAGUGGUCCCAUAUUCUAAGACAGUGUUAAACCACUAGAUUUGUACUUAUUUGAUAAGCUUGUUCUCCUAAUAGGUUAUGGCUAGCUUCAUUGUAAUUACAGUAUAUCUUAACCAAUUUUCAGAUAUUAGUCUAGCCAUUUCUGUUGGGAUAUGAUUUAGUUUAGCAAAUGGUAGGUAAUAAUCCAAAAUUUGUUAACAAUACAAUGUCAUAGAUAUUAUAAUAGCAACUUGUAGGUAUACAUUUUUUUCUAGAUGUUUACAGGGAAAGAGCUGGGCGUUAAUGUUUGUAAGCACAAUGUAAACUGGAUGGCAAUAUGGACAUACCAGAAUGCAGUCUGUAAAUGCACAUUGCAACUGUAGUAUUGUUAAUCUAAUGUAAUAAAUUACCACUGACAGUAAAAUGCUUCUGUGAAAAGGUGUGACCAGCAGAAGGGUCUUGGAAAUCUUACAUAGCUUUGACAGUGGAUCAUUGCAUUUUGAGAUAAAAAUGUAUAGUUGCCAUUACAGUAAAACACAUGACCUAUAAACAUGUACAAAAGAAAAUAAAGUUUGUAUAAUUUUUAACCUUGGAACAGUGCCCCAUAUGUAUGAUUUGUGCCAUACUCAUUGGAUCUUUUGUGGAGGCGUUACAGAAUAAAUUAUGCAGCAAUUAAUUGAAUAUCCUGUACUGUACUAGUAUUUCUCUAACAUUUUUAAUCAAUUUCAAAUGUUCAGUAAGAAUGCCCAAAAGAGGUGCCUUCACACCUCCAGAACCACCUCAAAGUAUGAAGUCCAAAGCAGCUUUAAUAUAAUGCAUAUGAGCACAUUGCAAAGUACCAACAGUGCCUUGUAGUAUCAGUCUUACUUACUACACACUUUAGUACUUUGCGUGAGGUUGAUCCCUGAAAAGAAUUUUGGAUCUUGGCAUACCCUGUUUGCUAGUGCUAUUUGGUAUACUGUAGCUGCAGCCAUUGCAAUUAGAGGUGGCAGAACUAGCUAUUAAGGGUAAGAGGAUCAUUUUUCAUACAGCACUGUUUGUUUUGGAAAAACUUAGCUUAUUUAAUUUGUGAAGUAAAUUAAAAGCAGAUAUCGUUUGUUCACUUAGGUGUCCAUAGGUUUUGGAUGAAGGCAAGAAAACAUUCACAAUCAACAAUAUGAAGUAAUAAAGAAAAUCACAUUUUAGUUUAAUAUCUGCAUCUUAUAAAAAACUGUUUUUAGCACGAAAUACCAGAUGAAAGUAUUCCAAAUAUGCGUUGUGCUGAGAUGAAUAGCACUUGUGUGCAAAUCAGCAAUCAUAUUGAUAGAAGUGACUUGCAUCUACUGCACAACAGAUCUACAAAUGUCAACAAAAUAUGUAAUUUAACCAGGGUGUC